rnacentral:tRNA from 1 species
GUUAAUUUCCCGGCUGUUUGUAAAUUGUGGUUUUACAAUGGGGCUGGUGUGGUUUACU